rnacentral:ncRNA from 1 species
CAGGCGGGACGACCCGCACGCACGCACGACGCCUCCUCGGGACGACCCGC